GGACAAGGCAAGCUUGCUUCGUGGGCUUGAAGCUAUUCUAAGCCUAGAAAGAAAGCAGUCACUUUUCUGUGGAACAAAUAGCCUCAAAGGCAUUUCUGCACUCAGAAAACUGCAGAUGAGUCACAUCUGAAAAAAAGGAGCGCCUCAUUUCAGGCUAGCCACAACAAGAGUUUGGACAGCUUUUCCUGAGAUAUCCACAUACCCUCUGCAAAGUGGAAGCUGCUCCACGGCUCAAGUGAGACCAGUUCACACCUCUGCUUAGGACACGGGGACCUGGCCCUUGUGUUCCAAGGGCUCUACUGAGUAGCAGUGAUAUUUCAGCUGGGACUGUGAACUCAACAGAUGGGGGAGCAUUCUGUGCUUAUAUCUACACAGAAUAUUUUCUACUCUUCAUGGCAAAAGAGACCUUUCUUUUCAUUCUUCAGACUGAGGAGUCCACGGCACAAAUCCUAAAGAGGGCAGCAGAAUCCAGCCCACGCCUCCUGCCUGUUGCCAGCUGAAGCAGGCUGGUGCUGCUAAUUGAACGUGCUUUAUGUACAAGUGCCGUUCAGUACAUGCAUCCAGGACAUGCAGCGUAUCAUUCGGUGAUAUACAAACCGACUGGGACAAUUUACAAUGGUGAUUUUUCUACUGACGGGUAAAUUAAUGCUCUCUAUUAUAGACAUUUAAUCAGUGCCAGCUCCCCGAGUCUCUAAACAGGCCACCAAGAUAGAAGAUGGAUUGUUCUGAAUGCAUCAUAUAUAAACCAGGAAUACUUCAUAAGAACAUAAAUGGCAUGUUUGUUUCCCAGAGCCACAAAGACAGCUCCGUCGAAGGAAGGAGUGUUGACAACCUCCUACUGAGAGACAUGGGGUGGACAAGAUGCUGGUUUGCAGUGGUGUUUUUGUCUUGUCUUUUAUUUUUUCAAGGCAAGAACACCAAGAUGACCCAGAGAUGGUGAGGAAGAACAUGCCCUGCACGUGGGCAUGAUUAUUUGUGCAGAUGGGAUGCUGGUGAUGCCUGCACUGCCUUUGCAGUGUAUGGAGAUGCUGCUCUUGCUCUGUGCUCUGUGGCAAAAUUCACAGAUCAGCACAUCACUCUGAGGUCUGUGAGAUUGUGAUUAGGAAAUCAGGCUAACUGCACAGCUGGGAAGGUGGUCAUCACAUUCCUCCUGUCUGAAUGGCCCAGAGCCACCAGUAGUUUCUGCUGAUGGAAAGCCACAGGAGCUCGGAAAUGCCCCUGCAGGGAAAAAGGAGGAAGCGAGAUACAAUAACUGUGAUUUCUGAGAAACUUUGCAAGGAAAUGAAACAAUAACAGAGCAGAACAUCAGCAGUUCCAGGAGGAAAGACGCUAAAAAAAUAACUCAACCUCAAGACACGGGAUGGAGAUAAAGCUGUUUUAUGGCAUCUGAAAGCAUGUGGAAAAAUUGUUGCAUAGCUGGAACUGAUUUGGCACUGGGGAAACUAUUUGUUGAACUGCUAGUAAAACUUCAGAAGAGGAAAUACUUAUCAGAAGACAUCCAAACAAGUGCUGAGCUUUUCUUUAUAUGAAAAUCAUGGUCAGAUAGGGCACUUGUAAUCACUAGGAGCUCCGGAAAAAUUGAGCACAUAUUCUCACUGCUAAUGACAAAAACAACGGUGGGAAACACAGCAUGCAUGCAGGACCCAAGAGGACCCAGGAUCGGAAGCAGAGCAGCCUGCUGAGUACAUACUUCUUGAGCACAGUGAUUGGCACUGCUUGGGCAGAGUUGCCAAAAUGGUGAGCAAUUGCUUGUGCUUAACCCAAGGGGAGAUUUCAUGGCUUGUUAAAUUCCAUCCAGAGUUGUGUCUGCAUAGGCUGGCACAUACUUAGUCAGCUUCUGUGAUGCAGCGCUUCAAACAGAUGUAUGCCUAAGCUCAAUUCUUAAAAUAAUAUAUAUUUUGCUGUGGUAAAUGGCAUCUGAUUUGCCCUCACGUAGAAGAAUUUGCAAAAUGUGAAUGAAUGUUUUGUGUCCUGUGGUCACAGCAGCAUUGUCCUAAAUACAUGUACAAAUAGUCUUGGUCUAUACAAAUAGUCUAGUUUAUACAGAAAAUAAUCAGUCACUAAAAAAUGGCAGACAAUAAAAUCGAACAUUGCUU
rnacentral:lncRNA from 7 species